rnacentral:SRP_RNA from 1 species
GCUGGGCAUGGUGGUGGGUGCCUGUAAUCCCAGCUACUUGGGAGGCUGAGGCAGGAGAAUUGCUCGAACCUGGGAGGCAGAGGCUGCAGUGAGCUGAGCUUGAGCCACUGCACUCCAGCCUGGGUGACAGAGCAAGACUCCGUCUCAA